UUCCGAGACAGGUGCUGCAUGGCUGUCGUCAGCUCGUGCCGUGAGGUGUUGGGUUAAGUCCCGCAACGAGCGCAACCCUAUUGCCAGUUGCUACCAGGUAAUGCUGGGCACUCUGGUGAGACUGCCCCGGUUAACGGGGAGGAAGGUGGGGACGACGUCAAGUCAUCAUGGCCCUUACGCCUAGGGCUACACACGUACUACAAUGGCGCACACAAAGGGCAGCGAUACCGCGAGGUGGAGCCAAUCCCAAAAAGUGCGUCCCAGUCCGGAUUGCAGUCUGCAACUCGACUGCAUGAAGUUGGAAUCGCUAGUAAUUCGAGAUCAGCAUGCUCGGGCGAAUGCGUUCCCGGGCCUU
rnacentral:rRNA from 1 species